rnacentral:rRNA from 1 species
GAUGAACGCUAGCGGCAGGCCUAAUACAUGCAAGCCGAACGGCAAGAUUUUCAGCAAUGGAAAUCCUAGAGUGGCGUAAGGGUGCGUAACACGUAUGCAAUCUGCCCUCAACAGGAGGAUAGCUCCCCGAAAGGGGAAUUAAGACUCCAUAAGAUCUUAGAGUGGCAUCACUUAGAGAUUAAACUACCAGGGGUUGAGGAUGAGCAUGCGCAUGAUUAGUUAGUUGGCGGGGUAACGGCCCACCAAGACGAUGAUCAUUAGGGGAACUGAGA